rnacentral:antisense_RNA from 1 species
UUUGAUCGAGCCGAGCCACAGCGGCCGUUCGGCGGGGCGCUGUUGGCCGUAGGUGGCGAGCAGCGCGCCGGCUUC